rnacentral:tRNA from 1 species
ACUUAAAUAAUUUAAAAAAAAUAUUGAUUUGUGGAAUCAAAAAUAUGAGAAUUUUCAUUUUAAGUC